CUGGUAGUGGCUGUGUCUGUGCAGAAAUGAAGCCAGAGUCCCUGCAGUAGCGAUUGGAUGAAGGAGCCGAAGUAGGUCCCACCAAUACAUGCACUCGACCAAUCGUGACUGUGGAGAGAUGCGAUCCUUAUCCUUGAGUGCUCCCUCCGCUGUUGGUUGGCAUUCAUCUGUUGGCUCAGCGCCCGGCGCUUCGGUUGUUAGUGUGCGGCGUGGACAACAUCAGCCUGACCUGCCAUGACACUGCAGUAAUACUGUCUCAACAGGAAAUAGCAUAAGGGGACUUUUAACGCUUAUGUUGUUGUUGAGCCUGAAUCAUUAUGAAAGCUCGACUUGAAGCUCACAUACUCUGCAUACUGAACCAAGCCGGGACAACUUGUAUGCAUUCUCCCACGUAAUGCAAUUCCUCAGAGGAGGUAACUGCCUGCGAACGACGCAGUGAAAGCCUACAAGGACAUAAACACAAUCCAGCGACAGCGAAUGUCAGCGGUCAACAAUUUAUGAGGUCGCGCCAAAACAAAGGACACCGCAGAAUGAAAAUGUUACUUGAGGUGAACUGUUAUUAUUCCUUCCAGUCAUUCAGGGCUGAAAACAGACAUAAGGAUCAUUUAUGUGCAUUGAAAUGUACAAAC